rnacentral:rRNA from 1 species
GACGAACGCUGGCGGCGUGCCUAAUACAUGCAAGUAGAACGCUGAAGAGAGGAGCUUGCUCUUCUUGGAUGAGUUGCGAACGGGUGAGUAACGCGUAGGUAACCUGCCUUGUAGCGGGGGAUAACUAUUGGAAACGAUAGCUAAUACCGCAUAACAAUGGAUGACACAUGUCAUUUAUUUGAAAGGGGCAAUUGCUCCACUACAAGAUGGACCUGCGUUGUAUUAGCUAGUAGGUGAGGUAACGGCUCACCUAGGCGACGAUACAUAGCCGACCUGAGAGGGUGAUCGGCCACACUGGGGCUGAGACACGGCCCAGACUCCUACGGGAGGCAGCAGUAGGGAAUCUUCGGCAAUGGGGGCAACCCUGACCGAGCAACGCCGCGUGAGUGAAGAAGGCUUUCGGAUCGUAAAGCUCGGUUGUAAGUCAAGAACGAGUGUGAGAGUGGAAAGUUCACACUGUGACGGUAGCUU